rnacentral:rRNA from 1 species
UGGGGAAUAUUCCACAAUGGGCGCACGCCUGAUGCAGCCAUGCCGCGUGUAUGAAGAAGGCCUUCGGGUUGUAAAGUAUUUUCAGUCGGGAGGAAGGUGGUAAGGUUAAUAACCUUAUCAAUUGACGUUACCGACAGAAGAAGCACCGGCUAACUCCGUGCCAGCAGCCGCGGUAAUACGGAGGGUGCAAGCGUUAAUCGGAAUUACUGGGCGUAAAGCGCACGCAGGCGGUUGAUUGAGUCAGAUGUGAAAUCCCCGGGCUUAACCCGGGAAUUGCAUCUGAUACUGGUCAGCUAGAGUCUUGUAGAGGGGGGUAGAAUUCCAUGUGUAGCGGUGAAAUGCGUAGGGAUGUGGAGGAAUACCGGUGGCGAAGGCGGCCCCCUGGACAAAGACUGACGCUCAGGUGGGAAAGCGUGGGGAGCAAACAGG